GGAGAUGGUGAUUUUGAGAGGGAGAUGGGUCUCGGGAUUUAGAUCAAUGAAAUUUUACAAUUUAGGUUUAAAAUUUUUAAACAGAAGAAAUGUAAAAAAUGAAAUAAAGGAAAAAAAAUAUUAUUAUUUUUGAAGGGGUUGUAAACCUCCCUUGAAUACCAUUAAAACUCCCACUAUCAUUGACAGCUUCAUAAUUUAAAUUAAACAUUAUGAAAUAUGUUAAUUUGAGGGGGUUUUCCAUAACCUCCCC
rnacentral:lncRNA from 1 species